UAAAUCUGUAGCUGAUUUCUCUUACUAUUAAUAAAAGUUGUUGUCUGAGUCACUGAGUGUUCUGAUUGGCCAGUGCCAGCAGUCUCUACCUCCCCUGGUGCUCUAGCCUGCAAACAGGCGUUUAUUCAGGUGGGACCACGACCCACCUGAAUAAACGCCUGUUCGUAGGCUAGACCUCGGUUGGAUAUUUUCCCGUACUGUCCUCGGGUCAGUUAUUAAUAAAUUAACUAUAUUUAAAGUUAAAUCCUCUUAACCGUGGAGCUAAACAUUCAUAGCCAUAGGCCGUGUAUUUAUUUAAUAUGACUAUGUAUAGGCUGGUAUAUGCUUC